GCAGGCUGCAACCCGCCCUGCAUGAAGCCGGAAUCGCUAGUAAUCGCAGAUCAGAAUGCUGCGGUGAGUACGUUCCCGGGUCUUGUACACACCGCCCGUCACACCAUGGGAGUCGAUAACGCCCGAAGUCAGUGACCCAACCGAGAGGAGGGAGCUGCCGAAGGCGGGAUGGAUAACUGGGGUGAAGUCGUAACAAGGUAAC
rnacentral:rRNA from 1 species